GCAAUGGUGGUUCAGUGGUAGAAUUCUCGCCUGCCACGCGGGAGACCCGGGUUCGAUUCCCGGCUGUUGCA
rnacentral:tRNA from 1 species